UUUUAAAUUCAAAUUCCAAUGCAGUGAUCUAGACACAAUCCCAAUAUGUCAACGCCUUCCCAUUUCAUCUUUAUAACAUCUACUUCUGAAUUUAUGUGCAGCUGACCGUUUACCCCCUGCAUUCCAUGUCAGAAUUUUAAAGAAAUAGUAGGAACUGCAGAUGCUGGAGUCAGAGUCAACACAGUGUGGAGCUGGAGGAACACAGUAGAUAUUUCUGCCAUCUUUGGGGUUUUUGUUGGCCUGCUCACAUCUCUGUCACUGUGAACACAAUAAUCUGGCCAAAUGAUUCACCUCGAGGCGUGCGGUCUUCAACUAAACUUGGAACCUGUUGGUCGCUCGGCGGUGAAACCAUCCACUGGCUCCGUGGAUUCACAUGAUAUGCAGCACCAAAGUGAAAUGAGAAGCGCAGCACCGUUCCCAAGGAUUGUCUGCUUUCGUCAACAUCAAAGGCACCACUCCUCUCAAAGACCGAAAUUCGCCAACCGUUCAAAACGGGCAAGGUCUACUGGCUGAACGAGCUCAACCCAAGGAAAUCAUGCUGGACCCAGCAAUGAGUUUCACGUUCAAAUCACAGGAUCAUUACAAUGUAAAAAGAAGCCAUUCAGCCCAUCGAGUCUGCGAGGCUUUCCGAGCAUUUUAACUUCGUUAAAAGUCUUCUGUUGUUUCCUCAUAACCCUGCCCAUUGUUUCUGUUAAAUAAACGUCUAACUCCCUCUUGAGUACCUCAGUAAAACUUGCCUCCGCCAUAAUUUCAAGUAGUGCCUUCCAUAUCCUAAUUACUCGCUGUGUUGAAAAGUUUUUCCUCGGCUCGUAAUUGCUUCUUUUGCAAAACACCUUUGAAGUGUACCCUGUGGUUCUCGAUCAUUUUCUAAGUGGGAACUAUUUCUCCCUAUCUACUCUGUCAACAUGCCUCGAUUUUCAAAACUUCUAUCAAAUCUUCGUUUGCCUUCUCCUCACCAAGGAGACCAGUUCUAAUUUUGUCAGUCUAUCCUCAGAAGUGAAAUGUUACAUCCCUGGAACUAUUCUCAUAAACCUCUUCUGCACUCUCUCGAUUGCAUUCACAGCUUCAAGCCCAGAACUGUUCACACUGCUGCAGCUGAGAUCUAACCUUUGCCUUAAAUAAAUCCAUAAGAAUCACCCUGCUCUUGCACUUUAUCUCCCCUAUUUACGAAGACUAGAAUACUGUACUUUUAAAUAACGGCUCCCUCCAUCACCUUUAAUGACUUACACACACGUACACGCAGGUCACACUGCUCCUGCACAUCCUGUAGAAUUUUAUUUAAUUUUAUAUCCCUUUAUUUUACACUCGCCGUGUUUCUCCUGGAUUUCCUUUUAGGAUUAUUUGUGACUCAUACUUAUUCUGGUCCUGGCCUUCCAGAUCAGAAACAUUUUCUGAUAGCAACCUUUUCAUAAUUAUAAAGAGCUUUUUUAGUUUUGUUCUCAAUGUUGCAGUUUCAACACAAAUGAAAUGAUCACUUUGAGUCU